rfam:Nippostrongylus brasiliensis genome assembly, scaffold: NBR_contig0010557
ACAUCGGUAGCACAGUGGUUAGUGCAGUCUGCCAGAAACAGAAUGACGCGGGUUCAAUUUCCGUCCGAUGUC